rnacentral:tRNA from 2 species
GCUGUAGGAGCUUUGUAAAACCCAUCAAAACUCUAUUUCAACGCACUCGUAAUGCGUAGGCCGGGGGUUCAAUUCCCUUCACCAGCA